AUACCUUUCUCGGCCUUUUGGCUAAGAUCAAGUGUAGUAUCUGUUCUUAUCAGUUUAAUAUCUGAUACGUGAGUCAUUGGCUCACAUGAUAUUAAAUUAAUUUUUUAAAGGGAAGAGCCCAUCAUAGUAGCUUGCUAUUGGGGUUUUUAAGUGUCGCCUAUUUCUUGCACUACAGUAUAGGCCUGGCACACCCUAC
rfam:Glycine soja cultivar W05 scaffold872_10, whole genome shotgun sequence.